rnacentral:rRNA from 1 species
CCUACGGGUGGCAGCAGUGGGGGAUAUUGCACAAUGGGGGGAACCCUGAUGCAGCGACGCCGCGUGGGUGAAGAAGCGCCUCGGCGCGUAAAGCCCUGUCAGCAGGGAAGCAAAUGACGGUACCUGUAGAAGAAGCCCCGGCUAACUACGUGCCAGCAGCCGCGGUAAUUCGGAGGGGGCAAGCGUUAUCCGGAUUUACUGGGUGUAAAGGGGGCGCAGACGGCGAUGCAAGCCAGGAGUGAAAGCCGGGGGCCCAACCCCGGGACUGCUGUUGGAACUGCGUGGCUGGAGUGCAGGAGGGGCAGGCGGAAUGCCUGGUGUAGCGGUGAAAUGCGUAGAUAUCAGGAGGAACACCGGUGGCGAAGGCGGCCUGCUGGACUGCAACUGACGUUGAGGCCCGAAAGCGUGGGGAGCAAACAGGAUUAGAUACCCGAGUAGUC